rnacentral:rRNA from 1 species
AUUGAACGCUGGCGGCAUGCUUUACACGUGCAAGUCGAACGGUAACAGGUUAAGCUGACGAGUGGCGAACGGGUGAGUAAUGCAUCGGAACGUGCCCGAUCGUGGGGGAUAACGCAGCGAAAGCUGCGCUAAUACCGCAUACGAUCUGAGGAUGAAAGCGGGGGACCGUAAGGCCUCGCGCGAUCGGAGCGGCCGAUGUCGGAUUAGGUAGUUGGUGGGGUAAAGGCUCACCAAGCCGACGAUCUGUAGCUGGUCUGAGAGGACGACCAGCCACACUGGGACUGAGACACGGCCCAGACUCCUACGGGAGGCAGCAGUGGGGAAUUUUGGACAAUGGGCGAAAGCCUGAUUCAGCAAUGCCGCGUGCAGGAAGAAGGCCUUCGGGUUGUAAACUGCUUUUGUACGGAGCGAAAAGGCUCUCUCUAAUACAGGGGGCUCAUGACGGUACCGUAAGAAUAAGCACCGGCUAACUACGUGCCAGCCGCCGCAGUAAGAC